rnacentral:pre_miRNA from 1 species
CUUUGUCCCAAAUUUCUUGUCUUAGAUUUGUCUAGAUACGGAUGUAUCUAAUACUAAAAUGUGACUUGAUACAUCCGUAUCUAGACAAAUCUAAGACAAGAAUUUUGGGACGGAG